GCCUCGAAUGAGCUCUGUGAUGCGUGUGGAUCUCUCUCUCCUCUCAUCUAUCUCUCUCUCUCCUCUCAUCCAUCUCUCUCUCUCUUAGUCAAACCCCAAAACAAUCUCACUCUACUCUAUUCAAAUCCAAAUUUGGGAUUCCCUCUCUCUCCCUCUACUCUGUUGAAACCCAAACACUGUUUUAGUCUAGUAAACAAGAGCAAAAUCAGCCAACCCAUCGGCGACAGUGGAGGGCUUCCGGCGUUUUCCGGCUUUCCUUCUUUGCAUUGACAAGUUGCAAAGUUACCCAAGCCCUAGAUCCUCAAAUCUCCUCCAUUGACAGCCGAGAAAAGUGAAAAGAUCAAAUGGGCUCAAUGUGAAGACUGUUUUAAGUCGCGCAAAGUUCCUGCCGAUGCUUUUCUUUCCUCAAGAUGGACCUGUUCUGAAAACUGGUGGGAUCUAGAAAGGGACAGGGAAAAACCCACAAAAUACACAAAGGACAGUGGCUAUUGUGGUGGGAGGAGUGGCUGGUUUUGGGCUUGGAAUUGCCUGCUUGUUGUUUCUAAAAUCAGCUUUUAAGAAGCGAGAAAACAAGUAUGGAGGAUGAUGAUGAGGUUAGUUUCCAACCUUUUACUACUCUGUUUUCUGUUUUUUUUCUCUGUUUUUUUAAUUUUCAAAAUGAAAAUAUUCCUCUUGCUAUGAAGAAUUUAUUAAAUUUUUUUUUUACAGUUUGGUAUUUUUGUGUGUGUGUGUGUGUGUGUGUGUGUGUGUGUUGUGUGUGUGCAGGGUGAGACUACUACUAUUAUGUGCUUAGCUGCUAAGUUGGAGGGGUGUAAUGUAAAAGAGAGAAGUUUUACUUUUUUGACUCUGUUUUGCAUUCAGAUAUUUCUUCUCCACCUAGUUCCUUUUUCAUUAGUUUUCUUUCUUUUAAACCAAACAGCCCUAUCUGUCUAAAAAAAUACACAUUUUAGUCAUAGUUGGCCUUUUUCUUUUGAAUGUACAUGCACAGAUUGAAAUAUAUAUAUAUAUAUAUAUAUCUAUUUGUGAAUAGUAGCUUUUAGUUGGCAUUAAAGGUUUGUUCUCCACUUUACUACAUAAAGAGCAAUUAUUAGGUAAUUAAACACACAUGUUCAAGUGAAAUUGUGUUGCCAAGUGAUAGUCAAUAAAAAACCUUCGUUUUUACCAGUUACUCUAGUGACUAAUCUCCAAAAAAUUAGGUUUACUCUUGCAAAGAAGCAGGAGCAUAUUAGGUAAUUAAAAAUCUAUUGUACCUUUUACCUUUUACAUUGGUUUGGUCAUAUCAUGUAUUUAGUUCUCAAUCUCAUCAAGUAAUUAAAAUUUGAACUCUGGUAUAUGGAUUUAUCGGAUCCAUUCUGUUUUUGAUGAUCUUGGGUCCAGAGCUCUUCCAACUUUCCUCAAUUCCACCAUGAAUGCUAUUGAGGGAAUCAUUGGAAUGGUUGGGCUUUCUUGAUCUAAGAAAAGGGUUAUCAAGAUACUUCACGAUGUCAAUGGAAUCAUAAAACCAUCUAGAUGGGUAGCUGUACGUGCAGCUGUUGCUAUGGGUGAGGAAGGCGAUAUGGUUGUGGCUGCUCAAAACAAUGAUCCUCAAAUGACAGUUUAUUGAGCGUGAAUUUCUAGCUGAGCAGGUGGAAGCAAUUAAGAAAAUUGCAGACUUUGUCACUCAGUUGAGACUGGUUGGAAAAGGACAUGGAUGAAUCUGUACUAAUAUGGUUCUCGGGGAAAGAGGAGAAACACCUCAAACUAAGUCACAUGUCUAAAAUCAUUUCAGGGCAGCGCACUAUUGGAAAGGUGGUAGAUGAACAACUUAUCGAACAAGGAUGAUGCAUCAAAGAACCUAGUGACUAAGUUACACUCUGCUAAAGCUAAGCUUGAUUUGGUGACUCAAACAAAAUCCAAAUUUGUUUUGGAGAAUAGCAAGGUUCAUGUAUUAAAUUCUGAUUUCUAUAGCUUGAGUGGAUGUACAUAGAUACUAAGGGUAGAGGUUUAUUUUUUUACUGUUUAUUUUUUUACUGACCUUCAAGUGUUUUGAAUUGCUUGAAGAGUUAGUGUUGUUGUUCAGAGAGAACUUCAAACUCGAGUCUGAUCGCUCUUGCAUACAUCUGGAGUUCGAUAUAUUGUUUACUUUUAUUUUUGGUUGUGCUUGUUGUUUGAUUUUGGUUUAGAAAUAAUCAUAUAAUGUUUUUAGUCAAUAUAUUGAAAUAGCAGUAAAGUUUUAUCCAUAUUAUUACUAAUUU